AAAGUGAUGGCGCUGUCCCUUUAACCACGUUUUACUGGAAGGAGAGUGCGCUGGGAGGAGGGAAGAGGGGGAGGGAGUUUCUGGUUUUGCAUGAAGAAGCAGAACAUGAUGAAGCAUUUUUCCCCCAUCUAAAGAUCCAGUCGUGCUCCAGUUUGCAGAGGGCAAGGGGCUGGUUGCAGGUGGUGCUGGGAGGAUGGAGAGACACCCCAUCUCACCAUGUUGCCUGGCUGGUCUCGAACUCCUGGGCUCAAACAGUUCUCCCACCUUGGCCUCUCAAAGUGCUGAGAUUACAGGGUCUCGCUCUAUAAGCUCAGGCUGGCAUGCAGUGGCGUGAUCUCGGCUCAUGGCAACCUCUGCCUCCCGGGUUCAAGUAAUUCUCCUGCCUUAGCCUCCCAAGUAGCUGGGAUCACAGGAAAGUCCAACGUGUAAACUGAUGACAGACUAUCCUGGAGGAAGAGGUGGGGCAGCCUGGAGUUUUCCUCUGGACAUCCUGAGAGGGAUACCGAAACACUCAGAAGGGGUCUUAGACCUGCCCAAGCUCACACAUGCAGUUUGAGAAGAGCUGCGCUUAGACCACAGGCCUCUUUGCUCCUGGGAAGCUGAGAGCGUCGGCGCUGGAGUUCGUCAGACAGGGGCAAGUCCCAACCGCAGCUCAGUGACCUCAGACAAGCCCCCUCACCUUGCAGAACUGGGUUCUUCUUCAGAGUUGUAGGAAGGAGUGGAGGAGGGUCUCCGCAUGUCAGAUGUCCACACAGUGCCUGGGAGCUGAGGUUGUCAUGGUUACCAAGAGGCCAGUCUCAGGGCUGCUGUGAUGACCUGGGCUGCACUCCCAUUCCCAAGAAGGGGAGAACUCCUCAGAUUCCCUACUCUGCUCUUGCUCCUUCCCAAGCAAUACAUGAGCAGGAAUUUGUCCUCUGCAGGAAUGUGCAGCGAGAAAGUCUCCUUUUUUGAUGAGACAGCGAUGAGGUGAUGUCUGGUUUUUUAUAUCCUCAUUUGCUGAACUGGUGCCAGAUGUAAGAGUCCAGCCUGGAUUCCAUUAGCCAUAUUUGUCCUCUGGGCUCCCAGCCCUGCAAGGACCUUCUGGGGGCCCACCUUGAGACCCUCCAUUUGGUAAGAAGUUGGCUGAGGCAAAUGAUGCAGCCCUAAGACGAACCAUUUCCACUGGGGACUCAGGCAGGGUCCUUGAGAGCCUGACUCACUCGAGUAUUUUCUUUAAAAAUUAAAAAAAACAAGGCCGGGCACGGUGGCUCACGCCUGUAAUCCCAGCACUUUGGGAGGCCGAGGCGAGUGGAUCACAAGGUCAGGAGAUUGAGACCAUCCUGGCUAACAUGGUGAAACCCCAUCUCUACUAAAAAUACAAUGAAUUAGCCAGGCGUGGUGGCAGGUGCCUGUAGUCCCAGCUACUCAGGAGGCUGAGGCAGGAGAAUGGCAUGAACCUGGGAGGCAGAGGUUGCAGUGAGCCGAGACUGCGCCACUGCACUCCAGCCUGGGCGACACAGCGAGACGCCAUCUCAAAAAAAAAAAAAAAAUUAACAAAACACACUGAUCUUUUUUUUUUUUCUUUUUACCUAAGUAAAAAACCCUUUGAAGUUUAGGAACUGCAACUAAUCCACGUUGAAGGCUAAUCGGAGGUCUAGAUAGGUUAAUACCUUUCCCAGAAGAACCCAGUGGUAAAUGUAAAUGUCAGAUUGAUCAAUUGUAGAUUGAACUUCAGAAGCUGGAGUCCUCAUUACUAUUCUGGGAUGAUGGUCGACUCCGUUUGCUCAACAGAAGGAUCAGUGGCCUGGAGAAUUUGAGACGGCAUAUACCCGUCUGCUGUGUGGCUGGACCAUGUGGGUAAACUCCCCAGAGGCCUGCAUGAGCUAAAGGGGAUGCUCCAUCCCAUGCGCAGUGGAGCCUGCCUCCAUGGGCCCUGCUGGCCUUCAUGGCACCACCUCUCCCAUAGACAUCAGAGCUCCGGUGCCGGCGCUCCCCCCUGCAGACCCACUCGGUCGUGCCCAGCCAGGCUACCCUGCACAGCGUCUCACUCAUCUGUGCCAGAGUGAUGGCUGCUCAGCUAGCCACGAGGGGGUAGCACACCCUCUGCCCAUCCUGCAACAUGUCUGAAGCCCACCUAGACCCCUUCAUCCCAUGGACAGUGCAUUAAGCACAUGCACAAGCACCUGGGCUUCAGGUAGGAGCUACCUGGCCGCCUGCCCACCUAUCCCCUGGAGCCAGCCUGUGCUGCCUUCCUGCCUGAGGCUAACCUCUUCAUGCCCUGCAUGUGGGGAGACCCAGAGAUCCUGGUACUAAUUUUUUUUUUUUUUGAGACGGAGUCUUGCUCUGUUGCCCAGGCGGGAGUGCAGUGGCGUGAUCUCGGCUCACUGCAAGCUCUGUCUCCCAGGUUCACGCCAUUCUCCUGCCUCAGCCUCCCGAGUAGCUGGGACUACAGGCACCCACCACCACACCUGCCUAAUUUUUGUAUUUUUAAUAGAGACGGAGUUUCACCGUGUUGGCCAGGUUGGUCUCGAACUCCUGACUUCAGGUGAUCCACCUGCCUUGGCCUCCCAAAGUGCUGGGAUUACAGGCGCGAGUCACUGCGCCUAGCCCCUGGUAGUAAUUCUUAUUGUUCUCCCUCAAAACCUUGAGAAGUAGGCACCAGCCCGGUGAUGACAGAAUUACUAAUAACAGCAGCUCAGGCGUACCAAGAGCUCACACCCUAUUGGGCAUUGGCCCAGGAAGCCUUCCCUGCAAGUUUGCCAGGUAGGUUCUGUUAUUACCUCCAAUUUACAGAUGGGGAAACUGAAGCACAGAGAAGUAAGUAUUAUGGGCCUAUAUCACAGGACUCUAGAGUGGCAGGGCCUGCCUCUACUUGGUGAUGUGUGUAGGGACACUGCAAGCAGUUCAGUGUGGUGGGGCCAACUGUCUUCAUCAUGGUAGGACUGGCUCCAGGAGGGAUGGUGUAGAUAUGAAGCCAGAUGGGGCACAGGGCUGUGUUCUGAGGCGCCUUGAGGCCUCAGAGAGGGCUUUGCACUUUAUCCAGGGAUUUCAGCAGCCAUGAGAGGGGUAUAAGCAGGAGGGGCAUCUGGUUGGGGCUUUGCUGAAAGGCUCACUCCUUUGGCCAGGAAGAUGGGGAGGCUGGUGGCAGAGAAGCCCAUUGGAGGCUGUUAAUGCCACCCAGGCCAGGGAGGCAGGGCCCAGGUGAGCCAGUGACAGGAGUGAAGGAGAGAGGGCGCCAGGGUAGAGAGAGCUGAAGGGGCAGUGGCAGUGCUGGGUAGCCCUGGGUAGCUCAGCACAUUUUUGGGGGUUGAAAUGCAUUAGAUAUUUUCAAAAGGUGGUUUAUAAUCAAAUAAAAUGAAAAAAAAAAAAAAAGAAAUGCAUCCGAUGGAGCCUGGCAUGGGACUGGUGAGCAGUCAGGAAGUCCAGUUCAACCCUCUAGCAGGAGCCAAGCGUAUACUCAGAAUUCAUCUCAGCAGACAUUCCAGGGGGUAUCUUAGCGCAUCCCAAAGUGUGUACAUUUGUCCACCUGUAGCUCCCAUAGUGGGUCCACCACAGGCAUUUCUGAGUCCUGACCACCCUGAGCUGUUGUUUUUUCACCAGUUCUUUCUUCAGCUCACCCGUCAUCAUUUAUCCCUUCUCAAAACCAGAUCCUGAGUUUCCAACCACUAAGACAAGAGCAUAGCUCACGCCUGUGAUCCCAGUACUUUGGGAGGCUGAGGCAGGCAGAUCACGAGAUGAGGAACCAGCCUGGGCAACAUAGCAAGAUCCUGUCUUUACAAAAAACAAUAAAAUUAGCAGGAGGAUCAGUCGAGCCCAGGAGUUUCAAGGCUGCAGUGAGCUAUGACCAUGCCACUGUUCUCCAGCCUGGGUGGGUGACAGAGUAAGACCUUGUCUCUAGAAAAAGAGCACACAGUGACAUGGGAGGGCCAGGUACACAUAGCUCAGGGGUGGCUGUUAAAAGCCAGAAAAGAGCCUUACAGAUGCAGGUUCGAGUCCCUGCUCCACCCCUUAUUAACCCCAUCAUUAAAAUGUUUACCGAGCACCUAUUAUUAAAUUGCGCCCCAUUGUGAGCAGUGAUGAAAUCUCCAGCUGACUGGGGUGUGAAUCCUCCCUUUGUCCAAUGUACCCACGCUAGUUUUCACUACCCCGUAAUCACGUAGUAGCCCUGCCAGUUAUCAAAUCAACCAUCACAGUUUUGCAGUGCUUGUGUUCAAGAAAUCCUUAUCUGACUUAACUGUGGCCCCAAAGAACAAGAUUCGUGAUGCUGGCAAUUCAGAUAUGCCAAAGAGAAGUUGUGAAUUGCUUCCUUUAAAUGAAAAGGUAAAAGUUCUCAAUAAGAAAAGAAGAAAAUCGCUGGGUACAGUGGCUCACGCCUAUAAUUCCAGCACUUUGGGAGGCUGAGGUGGGUGGAUCACCUGAGGUCAGGAGUUCAAGACCAGCCUUGCCAACAUGGUGAGACCCCAUCUCUACUGAAAAAUGCAAAAAUUAGGCUGAGCAUGGUGGCUCACUCCUGUAAUCCCAGCACUUUGUGUGGCCAAGGCGGGUGGAUCACGAGGCCAGGAGUUCAAGACCAGCCUGGCCAAGUUGGUGAAACCCCAUCUCUACCAAAAAUACAAAAAAUUAGCCAACCAUGGUGGUGGGUGACUGUAAUCCCAGUUACUCGGGAGGCUGAGGCAGAGAAUUGCUUGAACCCAGUAGGCAGAGGUUGCAGUGAGCCAAAAUUAUACCACUGCACUCCAGCCUGGGCGACAGAGCAAGACUCUGUCUCAAAAAAAAAAAAAAAAAAAAUUAGCCAGGCGUGGUGGUGCGCACCUGUAAUCCCAGCUACUUGGGAGGCUGAGGCAGGAGAAUUGCUUGAACCUAGGAGGCGGAGGUUGUAGUGAGCUGAGAUCAUGCCACUGCACUCCAGCCUGGGCAACAGAGCAAGACUCUGUCUCAAAAAAAAAAAAAAGAAACGAAGAAAAUCUGCUGAGCGCUCUAGGGAUAAAAGUAAAAAAGAAUGAGAUCAUGUCCUUUGCAGCAACAUGAAUGGAGCCGGAAGCCAUCAUCCUAAGCAAACUAACACAGGAACAAAAAACCAAACACCACAUGUUCUCAUUCAGAAGUGGGAGCUAAACAUUGAGUGCACACGGAUGCAAAGAAUAAUAGAAAUGGGCCUACUCGAAGGUGGAGAGUGAGAGCUGUAAAACUACCUACUGGGGCCUGGCUGGGUGGCUCAUGCCUGUAAUCCCAGCACGUUGGGAGGCCAAGGCGGGCGGAUCACCUGAGGUCAGGAGUUCGAGACUAGCCUGGCCAACAUGGUGAAGCCCCAUCUCUACUAAAAAUACAAAAAUUAGCCGGGUGUGGUGGUGGGCGCCUGUAGUUCCAGCUACUCGGGAGGCUGAGGCAGGAGAAUUGCUUCAACCCGGGAGGCAGAGGUUGCAGUGAGCCGAGAUCAUGCCACUGCACUCCAGCCUGGGCGACAGAGCGAGACUGUUCCUCAAAAACCAAAACAAACUACCUGUUGGGUAUGGUACUUAUUACCUGGGUGACAAAACACUCUAUAUACCAAGCAUGCAAUUUAUCUGUAGAACCAACCUGCACAUGUACCCCUGAAACUAAAUAAAAGUUGAAUUUGUAAAAAAAAGAAAAAAA